UGAAAGAGUAGAAAAGCAGUGAGACACAUUUCAAACAGACCUGGUGAUAAGGGCUAGCACCAUGUAAACGCUUGAACUUUGAAGAAUAAUUGCUAACAUUUAUCCAGGGCUUACCAUGGGCUGGGCACUGUUCUGUCUUACAUCUGUUAGCUCUUAUGUUAAUUCCCACUACAUUCCCAUAAGGCGGGACCACUUUUAAUCCUUUCUUUAGAGCUGAAGAAAUUCAGACUCUGGGAGCAAGUAACACAGCUCAAGUCACAGAGCUCAUAAGAGGACCUGGGAUUCAAACCCACAAAGUCUACCUUCAAAGACAGAUCUCUUAAUCACUAUAUACUAAACAAGGCGAAAAUAAGUGUACAGGAAAUGGAAGGGAAGAGAAGGAAAGGGAAGGGAAAGGGGCCAUGCUUUGGGAUAUCCAAAGGGCAGAAUUAAAUUUUAUUAGGAAAAAUCUCCCAUCAAGACAAAUGGUGCAUUCCAGAACCCUGGCAUAAGCUGACAUCUUGGAAUUCUGAGACAAAGAGGUUCUCUUCUUGGUAUGGCAGACAUCAUGGCUGACCAAUUCUGUUCUCUUUAUUUUCUUUCUGCCUAAGAUAGUCAUGUGAUGUGACUCCAGCCAAUGACAUUCAAGAGUACAGUGUGUUAUUCAGAUGGGCUGCAGUGUUUCAGGAAUCAUGAGCAAAACCACCAGCUGAUGGAACCACAAAAGCACAAAGGAUCUUGACUGCAUCAUCCAGCAACUUUCCUGGGCCUGGACUUGCUACUUCUGGGUCAAUUGUUAGGAAAACAAAUAAACCAGUCAUUUUAAGAAAAAAAUAAAUAAAAACAUGACUUCUUUUCAGUACCUUAUGUGAUCUUCUUCUCUGGCUUUCGAAGUCUAAAUU
rnacentral:lncRNA from 1 species